AUAUGUGUAUAAUAUAACACACACGCCAAUCACCUAAUCCUAGAUAGACUCUAAAGUCUCCAACCCACUUUAUACCCAAAUAUUUCCACCCCCAAUAUAAAACAUUAAAAUAAGAGAUAAUAGCAAGUAAUAGAGAAUGAAAACUAUAUAAUAUUAAUCAACAGAAUAAUUUAAAUAAAGAAAAUCUAAUAAAAGUAAGAGACCUCAACAACAAAAGUACUGAAAAGGAAAGAUAAACAAUAUACCCUAAUCUAGAACAUAUUAUAAACAUCCAAUAUUAUUCCUUUUGCAUCAGGAGCUUAUAAGAAAAAUCAUAAAUAAAUUUAUAAAUAUAAAUAAAAUUAAAAUAAUAACCGAUAAAUUUAUGAAACCCGAAACCUUGUGAUCAAACUGUAAAUAGAAAAAAGAACUAAUUAGUAAAUGUUGCAAUAUUUUUAAAUAAUUUACAGUUAGAAACAAAAAGUUAAUCGUACAAGGAAAUAACUGGUUUUCGAAGAAAUAUAUCUAAGUAUAAAUAAAUCAGAAAAUAUAAACACCAAAAUGAAAAGUUCUGAUACAACAAACAAGACAAACUAAUUGUGAAAAGAUAAUUAGUUUAAAUGAAAACAGCCAUAACCUAAAUUCAAAGUAACAAAUAUUUUCCCAAAUAUAAAAGUAGACUUAAAAACAGCCACCUUCUAACAAAAACGUAAUAGUUUAUUACAAAAAAAGCAAAAUAAACAAUUUUUCUUAAAAUACUAUAAAUUAGGUUUUAAAGAUAUUCGAAUAAUAAUAAUAAUUUAAGCACUAGUAAAUAACACACACCCCCAAAGAAUAUAAAUCGGCCUUUAAUAAUAUAAGCAAACAAAUUAUAAAUAUAAAUAUCCAAAGCCGUUCUUUAAUCCAACUCUGGUGGGACCAAUAUAAACAAAAAAUUUUAAGGAACUCGGCAAAAACGAAACUCGACUGUUUACCAAAAACAUAGCCAAUAGAAAAAAUUAUUAAUGGUGAUGCCUGCUCAAUGAUUGAACAAUAAUACCAUAAAAACAAUUAAAUAGCUGCGGUAACACCUGACCGUACAAAGGUAGCAUAAUAAAUCGCCUACUAAUUAUAGGAUAGAAUGAAGGUAAAACGAAAUUUCCACUGUCUCAAAACCACAAACUUAAAAUAGAAUGUGUGUGAAAAUCCACACUAAAACGGCAAGACGAUAAGACCCUAAGAACUUUACCCAAAAUUUUAAACACACACAACUAAAAUUUUAAGUUUCGUUGGGGCAACGAUCUUUUAAAAAGUAACUAAGAUUAACCAAUCAAAAACAAACCUAUGAAAAUAAUUUAGAUAAGACCCAUUAAAAAAAAUCAUUAAUGAAAAUAUAAUAAAAGUUCCUUAGGGAUAACAGCGUUAUAUCGUUUCAAGAGAAUCAUCCAAACGAUGUUUGCGACCUCGAUGUUGAAUUGCUAUACCCCAAAAUGUAACCACAUUUAAAGGUUGGACUGUCCUUCCAUUAAAAUAGCCCAUGAUUUGAGUUCAGACCGAGGUAACUCAGGUCAGAUUCUAUCUACCGUUAAAUCAAAGAGAUUCGAUAUUAGUACGAAAGGAAAAUAUCCACUUCCCCAUAGCAAAACCACGAAAAAAAAUAAAGUUUAUAAAACAUAAUCUCUAAUAUACCA
rnacentral:rRNA from 1 species